rnacentral:rRNA from 1 species
GAUGAACGCUGGCGGCGUGCUUAACACAUGCAAGUCGAACGAAGCUGUUAAAAGGAAGUCUUCGGAUGGAAUUUUAACAGACUUAGUGGCGGACGGGUGAGUAACGCGUGGAUAACCUGCCUUAUACAGGGGGAUAACGGAGAGAAAUUUCCGCUAAGACCGCAUAAGACCACAGCACCGCAUGGUGCAGGGGUAAAAUAUUAAUAGGUAUAAGAUGGAUCCGCGUCCGAUUAGCUUGUUGGUGAGGUAGAGGCUCACCAAGGCGACGAUCGGUAGCCGGCCUGAGAGGGUGAACGGCCACAUUGGGACUGAGACACGGCCCAAACUCCUACGCGAGGCAGCAGUGGGGAAUAUUGGACAAUGGGGGAAACCCUGAUCCAGCGACGCCGCGUGAGUGAAGAAGUAUUUCGGUAUGUAAAGCUCUAUCAGCAGGGAAGAAAAUGACGGACCUGACUAAGAGCCCC